rnacentral:rRNA from 1 species
UAGGGAAUCUUCCGCAAUGGACGCAAGUCUGACGGAGCAACGCCGCGUGAGUGAAGAAGGAUUUCGGUUCGUAAAACUCUGUUGUUAGAGAAGAACAGCGCAUAGAGUAACUGUUAUGCGUGUGACGGUAUCUAACCAGAAAGCCACGGCUAACUACGUGCCAGCAGCCGCGGUAAUACGUAGGUGGCAAGCGUUGUCCGGAUUUAUUGGGCGUAAAGCGAGCGCAGGCGGUCAAUUAAGUCUGAUGUGAAAGCCCCCGGCUCAACCGGGGAGGGUCAUUAGAAACUGGUUGACUUGAGUGCAGAAGAGGAGGGUGGAAUUCCAUGGGUGGCGGUGAAAUGCGUAGGUAUAUGGAGGAACACCGGUGGCGAAGGCGACUCUCUGGUCUGUAACUGACGCUGAGGCUCGAAAGCGUGGGUAGCAAACAGG